rnacentral:lncRNA from 1 species
GCUGAAGCUGGAGUUCCUGACUGUACAUGAUGGAUGGGAAGUAAGUGGCUCAUCUCCUGGCAGGCACUGAGGAGUGGAGUCCCAUUUUAUUUCUGAAUCACUCUGAAUGGCACACUACAAAGGUUGGAUGUGCUGCUGCCCUUUCCAUCUUAAAUGCACUUUUGAUAGGCUGAAAGCAGCUGCACUAAAGCAAGAUAAAGCUCCACCAUCAAGAUGAUGAACAGUGCGGAUGAAGAGGCUUCGCACUGAGCACAAAGGCCGGAGCGGAGAGGCUGAGGCAGCGGCGAGGACAGCUGAAGAAUGCCAUGCCGGGCAAGGAUGAAUAGCUCUCAUUUGUGAAUAUACAGAUCCGCAUGGUAGAGGAGGAGGAGGAGGAGAGAAAGAGAGAGAGAGAGAGAGAGAGAGAGAAAGAAGGGGAGUGUAUAUGAAAGAGUGAGAGAGAGAGAGAGAGAGAGAGAGAGAGAGAGCAAGAGAUGGAGUA